AAAAGAAAAAAAUAAAUAAAAGAAAAUGGUUGAAGAUUUAUUGACGACCACAUGCUGCCACGCAACAAAAACGUGAUUUCACCCUUGGAACUGGACUUCACCACUUUGAUUCCUGAUUUUGAUUUUGAAGAAAGUGAUUUAUAGCUACACACUACAAAGGUCAAGCCAGAGAACAGAAUAAAUAAAAUAAAGCAGGCCCAAGACGACGCUAAACGGAGUGCCCGGCGUUUUGAUUUCCACCCAUUGCCUUGGUUUUUUGGCAUGAAGUGCGAAGUAACUUGGAUGCACUCAUGCGCAGGGAGGGCCCCGAGAAUGAAAAUGGGGAAUAGGAAUGGGAAUGGUGCAACCUUGGAAGAACCCAGCGCUCUAUGAUCAUGAUCACGGCCUCUGUCCAUCAUUUUACUGCGGCUUACCGGCGCCAAGACGCCCUGAUAGGUCUCCUACGCUUGCCGCGCAUGACCCGUUGGGCGCGCAGAGGAGGAGGCAGGUCGUUCCAGCACCGGGACGCCGCAAAUCUGAAUGAUCCGCGAAAAGCUGCUGUGCGAUGUUUGGGUGUAGCAAAUAUCUCCACGUACUGCUGUCUCAGAGAGAGAUAGCUAUGAAACCAUCGUAUGGAGGAAUCAUCAAGACCAUAAUAACGCAACUUGGAGAGAAGCAGAGGAAUAUUAAUGGAGUCGAAGGCGCGCGAGAAGUCCAGCAGCACCAGCGUCGAAACCAACCCCCCAUCCUGAGCAGCCAGAAGGUCAUCAAUCACAUCCGAAAGAGCAGUAGCCGUCCCAAAACCCUUGCGGAAUCCCGAUUGACGGCGCGGGAGCAGUUCCUGUUCCUCAAGGUAUUUAGUUAAUUGAUCACAGACUAUACGCUCGAGGAUUUUGGACAAACAUGGUAGGAUGCUGAUAGGCCUCAAGUCCUGAACUGAAGCAGGAUGACCAGUUUUUGGUAGUGGCCUUACGACUGCCACCUUCCAACAGUCUGGAAAGAUCCCUUGCAGUAUAGAACCAUUCACUAUGUCGGUGAGUGCUUUGAGUGAGUAAGGCAAUGUGAGCAUCAGCAUAUCCAGUGUGAUGCCGUCACUUCCCUGAGCAUUCGAUUUGAGCGCUGUGAUGGUUCUUAAGACAACGUC